ensembl:lncRNA
GUGGAGGUGAUGACGUUCCAGUUGAGCUAUUUCAAAUCCUCAAAGAUGAUGCUGUGAAAGCACUGCACUCAAUAUGCCAGCAAAUUUGGAGCACUUAGCAAUGGCCACAGGACUGGAAAAGGUCACUUGUCUUCCAAUCCCAAAGAAAGGCAAUGCCAAAGAAUGCUCAAACUAUCACACAAUUGCACUCAUCUCAUACGCUAGCAAAGUAAUGGUCAAAUUCUCCAAGCCAGGCUUCAACAGUACAUGAACCAUGAACUUCCAGAUGUUCAAGCUGGAUUUAGAAAAGGCAGAGGAACCAGAGAUCAAAUUGCCAACAUCCACUGGAUCAUGGAAAAAGCAAGAGAGUUCCAGAAAAAUAUCUACUGCUUUAUUGACUACACCAAAGACUUUGACUGUGUGGAUCACAACAAACUGUGGAAAAAUUUUUAAAGAGAUGGGAAUACCAGGCUAUCUAACUUGCCUCCUAAGAAAUCCGUGUGCAGUUCAAACUGUUGCUUCCUGACCUGCAUAUAGGUUUCUCAAGAGGCAGAUCAUUAGUGAUUCAGAAAUAAUAGAAGUUGUUUUGAGAUCACCCAAGUCAUAGUAACAGAAACAUAACUUUUCUCAUUCUCAUCUGCUUCCCCUUCCUCAGUAUUAUGAUUAUUAAGAGAGUAGGAACAUGACUUGGGAACAGUCUGUUUGAAUUAGUAACUCACUUGGCAGACACGUCAACUGAUUGAAGUUUUAUGUCUCUUUUACUUUCAUGAGGAAGAGAUCACUGAUUGGAGAGUUUGAUAUUGGAGAUCUCUUUUAAAAAACAACAUAAACAAACAAAUAAAUCAGCCCAGACUUACUGGCAUCUCCUGGCAUCGUUACCCUGACUUGAUAACAUAUGAUCUGCAUCCAGAGCUACGAUGUAUUACAAUAAUCAAUGUUCUUAAUGGUGACCUUUUCCUCAUGAUGAUCAUGUGAAACUGGAUUCUGAGUAUUCUUCUUCUUUUGUCAAAAAAUCAGGAAAUAACCCCAGAAGUGUUUAAGGAGGUAAGAAAAUAUUUAGGAUAUAAUUGAGUGAAAACAAAUAACAAAGUAGUAUGUAUCUAUAUCCUCAAUUUGAUAAAGCCCAAAGGCAUUUUCCAAAAUUUUACAGUGAACCUGGGUAACUCCAUAAAAAAAUAUUACUAGAAGUUGGGAGGAAGUCCUGAUUCUCCACCAAAUGGUCAGGCAACCAUCUCAAAAUAGAGGUGGGGCAGAGGGCUAAGAUGUAGAAGAAUGUUUAAUAGUCUGGAAACAUAUCUACAUGUUGUGACAUGAAAAAUUAUUACAAAACAGUAUGCAUAGUCCUAAAUUUGUGAAGUGAAUGAAUUUAUAAGGUGAGAAGUAAAGAAAAGUGUAUAUAAAGAUUAUAGAAAAUAUACAAAGUUAUUAAAAAAUACACAAAAUUUAUGCAGGAAAUAGAAAGUAUUUACUUAUGGGGUUUCCUCAUAGUUGGUAAAGGACAUGCCUGCAAUGCAGGAGACCUGGGUUCGAUUCCUGGGUUGGAAAGAUCUCCUGGAGAAGGAAAUGGCAACCCACUCCAGUAUUCUUGCCUGGAGAGUACCUUGGAGAGAGGAGGCUGGCAGGCUACAGUCCAUGGGGUCGCAAAGAGUCAGACACAACUGAGCGACUAAACCACCACUAUCUAUCUGUCUGUCUGUCUAUCUAUCUAUCUAUCUGUCUAUCUAUCUAUCUAUCUACCUAUAUAGUGGAAUUCUCUAGGCCAGAAUACUAGAGUUGGUAGCCUUUCCCUUUUCCAGGGGAUCUCCCCAACCCAGGGAUCGAACCCAGGUCUCCCACAUUGCAGGCAGAUUCUUUACCAGCUGGGCCACAAAAGAAGCCCAAGAAUCCUGGAGGGUGUGUAGCCUAUCCCUUCUCCAGCAGAUUUCCCGACUCAGGAACUGAACCAGGGUCUCUUGCAUUGCAGGCAGAUUCUUGACCAACUGAGCUAUCAGGGAUGCCCAUAUAUAUCUUUGGGAUGCCAGAAGGACAAGGAUUUUUGUUUGAAAGGCUGACUGAGGGCUGAGGUUAUUGGUAAUUUUUCUUGUCUGUGUGUAUUUUCUAAUAUCAUUCAGAGAGUAUCUGUUACUUUUACUAACAGGGGGAAAGGAAGGAAAAAAAAAGUAAUACAUUUUGGAAAGAUCUUCACUUACUAAAAGAGAAAACAAAAAAUUUAUCCCAGAAAGUCACUUUUCUUUCAUCUGGGCACUUAAGCCUCCACUUUAUUGUUUGAUCACUGAGCCAUUUGACGAUUUUUGUUUUAACCAGGUCUCCUAAGGGAGGCAAUGCGUUGUAGCAGCCUGUGAUGCAUAAUUCUCAGGCAGUUCUUCAAGUCCUCAGGUGACACUUGGGAGGUGAGGCCCCCCCUUGUCCCUGCAUGUGGCUGGCCUGGAUGGAUACUUAACUCUUGGCUUAGAAAUAAACCCGAUGGAGGAAGCUCAGGAGGCAAGCCAAGAGCAUCAUUUUCCCUAGGAAUUUAAUUUCCAAAAUCUAGUCUUUGGAGCUCUGAGAAGUGAGAGGCAGUAUGUUACUGCAGCCCUUUCUUAGAGACUCUUGUGCUCACUAG